GAUGAACGCUGACGGCGUGCCUAAUACAUGCAAGUCGAGCGAACAGACGAGGAGCUUGCUCCUCUGACGUUAGCGGCGGACGGGUGAGUAACACGUGGAUAACCUACCUAUAAGACUGGGAUAACUUCGGGAAACCGGAGCUAAUACCGGAUAAUAUAUUGAACCGCAUGGUUCAAUAGUGAAAGACGGUUUUGCUGUCACUUAUAGAUGGAUCCGCGCCGCAUUAGCUAGUUGGUAAGGUAACGGCUUACCAAGGCAACGAUGCGUAGCCGACCUGAGAGGGUGAUCGGCCACACUGGAACUGAGACACGGUCCAGACUCCUACGGGAGGCAGCAGUAGGGAAUCUUCCGCAAUGGGCGAAAGCCUGACGGAGCAACGCCGCGUGAGUGAUGAAGGUCUUCGGAUCGUAAAACUCUGUUAUUGGGGAAGAACAAAUGUGUAAGUAACUAUGCACGUCUUGACGGUACCUAAUCAGAAAGCCACGGCUAACUACGUG
rnacentral:rRNA from 1 species